CAGUCGCCGCGGUAAUACGAGGGGGGCAAGCGUUGUUCGGAAGUAUUGGGCGUAAAGGGUGCGUGGGCGGCUUGACAAGUCUUGUGUGAAAUCUAUGGGCUCAACCCAUAGUCUGCACGGGAAACUGUCGGGCUUGAGAAUGGGAGAGGUGAGUGGAAUUUCCGGUGUAGCGGUGAAAUGCGUAGAUAUCGGAAGGAACACCUGUGGCGAAAGCGGCUCACUGGACCAUUUCUGACGCUGAUGCACGAAAGCUAGGGGAGCAAACAGGAUUAGAUACCCGCGUAGUCCCUGUCUCUUAUAA
rnacentral:rRNA from 1 species